AUUGAACGCUGGCGGUAUGCUUUACACAUGCAAGUCGAACGGUAACAGGUCUUCGGAUGCUGACGAGUGGCGAACGGGUGAGUAAUACAUCGGAACGUGCCCGAUCGUGGGGGGAUAACGCAGCGAAAGCUGUGCUAAUACCGCAUACGAUCUACGGAUGAAAGCGGGGGACUCGCAAGGGCCUCGCGCGGACGGAGCGGCCGAUGGCAGAUUUAGGUAGUUGGUGGGAUAAAAGCUUACCAAGCCGACGAUCUGUAGCUGGUCUGAGAGGACGACCAGCCACACUGGGACUGAGACACGGCCCAGACUCCUACGGGAGGCAGCAGUGGGGAAUUUUGGACAAUGGGCGCAAGCCUGAUCCAGCCAUGCCGCGUGCAGGAUGAAGGCCUUCGGUUGUAAACGUGACUUUUGUACGGUAACGAAAAGCCUUCCUAAUAAAGGGGUGAAUGACGGUACCGUAAGGAAUAACGACCGGCUAACUACGUGCCCAGGCAGCCGCGGUAAA
rnacentral:rRNA from 1 species